AUGUGCUUUCUAGCCAGCGCCUCCACACUUGCCGAUUCAGCCUGCCUUAGCUCCCAUGACGUUGAGAUGUUGCACAGCAGGGCUCUGUCAUUUUCCUCCUACAGGUUCACAUAUGCUCAGAAGGCCCAGGGCAUGAUGCAGCGAGGCCAAGCCAGCUGCUCUUGUGACGCUGCAGAAAUUCAGGGAAUGGUCUUCUGGGUUGUAUACACUCCAACUUCAUCCCUGGUCUACCUCCAGGGACACCUCAGCACCAGCUUCUUCACUGUGAAAGAGAUGACCAAAAGGAAGAGUAGGCUCUGCACGCUCCUUUGUCUGACCUUUGUAGCUGCUCUCAGUGAGUAUUCGCCCGCUGCAAGCAGUAGCAUGGAUGCACUGGAUGGGAGCUCCAGCAGGAGGGGGAGCCGCUGAAGCGCCUGUGGGGCCCUUCCCAUCUCCCACUUCUGCCACUGAGGGAGCUCCGGCUGUCUGCAAAGAGAUGCCACCUGGCCUGGGAGCCAACACAGAGCUGUUUCACAGCAUUCCUUUUUUGAUGCUCAGGGCAGGAGCUCCCAUGGCCCCACAGGCCUGUUACCUGCAUACCAGUCAGUGUAAAGAAGCUCUCCCCACCACGCUUCUCCUCCUGCCCCAAAUCCCUUGCUUAGCCUGCAGGCCUGUGUGGGGAGGCUGUGGGUCCUUCUAACCUCCCUGGCAGCCAGGCAGAGACAUCAGGAGCAAAAAGUCUUUGUGCUGUGGAGGUUGGAGGAGGUCUUCCUCUCUUGGGAAAACAAGUGCCAGAUCGAGUCUUGAGGCCCAGCUCCCUGCAGGGGUCUGACUCAUUCCCAUGCAGGUGUCCUGGAGAAGUAUCCUCAGGCUUUUUUUCUGCAUCUUUGCCAGGAAUGGUUCUCUGUAUUUGUUACCGCCACACUCUUGCCCCAGUUUACCUCCAGGGACGCAUCAGCACCAGCAUCUCCACCGUGUGAGUCCAGUACCUGUCCAAAGUUGCCAUAGAGUCGGGGAUGCCAGUUGGGUCAGGGUAGGUAGGGGAGGCUGGCGGUGCUCCCCACUAGGAGGCCACGGCUCUCACUGGCACCAGCUUGGAUGCUGCCAGGGCUGCAGUUUAUCUCUGUGUGCAUAGGUCAUUGGCCAAAACCUCAGCCACCAGGGAGUUAACUUAAGCGUAGCUUAAGGAGUGUUUGGUGUCAGGGCUGGGCCCCUGCCGGGGGAGGCUUCACCACUGCUUUUACCGGCUUCUGGCUUGGCGGAGGUGGUAUGGAGCUGCAGAGGCUGGUGAGAGGCAUACUAAAUGGCUGCUGCUACACACGGCCCUGUGGAGGACACACCAAUACAAGAAGAGUUUCUUCUCAAAUAUUACACAGUCAGCCUCCUUAGCAAAAGAGAAGUCAGGUGGACCACAAAGACAGC
rnacentral:lncRNA from 1 species